CACGUGGUAAAUAGCAAAGCUGGGAAGCAGGCCCAAACCCUCUCACUUCAGUCUGCUCUCUCCAAUGCAUGCUGCUUUCCUGAGAGUCGGGAGCUGGGCUCUCUAGUCCUGGCUCCACCUCUAAAGUGCUGGAUGAAUUUGGCAAGUGUAUGAGACAGGGAAUCUGUGGAAAACAGGAAAUUGCCACAGCCAUCCCAACCUUCAGCAGCCCCCAUCCUGAUCAGUUAGCAGCCAUCAACAUUGAGGCAAGACCUUCUACCAGCAAAAUGAUUAUGACUCACUGGAGACUCAGAUGAUGGUGAGUCACUUCACACCAGGGGACCCUGCAGGAAUCACUGAGAGGCUAGAAUGAGUAACUGAAGAAGGUAAGUCAACAACCACUGAGAGCAGAAGAUAGAAGCUGAGUCCAGAAGAGACAAGCAGAGUGAUCUGAAUCAGAAGAGAGAAGCAGCUGCUUCAAGCUGAAUCCAGCCAAGACCAAUUUUGCAACUGCUGCUGGGAACUGAUCUGACUGGAAGAACCCUUUGUUGUUUGAAGAUCUGGUGGGGAAAAGGAAAGAGCUAGGCUGCUCUGCCCUUAAUUGCUAAUUGCUACCUAUGGCUUAAGUGGGUAUAAACCCUGGGUAUAAGCCCAGGAAGGAAACCUGAAUUACACUGAAGAUGCCAGACUAAAUGGAAUUGUUUUGCUAAGUUAAUGCUGCUCAGAGUCCAAUAGACCUCAAUAGCUCUGCAGACUCCAGUCUGAGGGUCUUCUUUCUUCUUUCAUUAUAAGAGCUUCACACUGUGUCAAGUGAGCUUGGGGUAGCAGCCAGCAGAGAAGUGGUUUCUCCCAGAAAGAGAAUGGAGAAGUCCAGAAAAAGAAUAUCCUCAUCUAGCAGGUGGCACCUGGUAAAGACUAUUCCCUAAGGAGAUGAAGGAGGCAGGUACUCUGUCUUGGAAUAGAUCAGCUGGCUCUAGCUCCCAGUCUCCCUUGGACUUUCAGCAAGGACAUAAUGGUGGAGAUAUUUCUCUGCACUCUGCACCCAGCAGUAAGGGGGUUUACAACAAGAGCACGUGGCAUUGUGAACAUAUGGUUAUCUAGGAAUUCAGAAGAGAAAAACUGAUGUGAGAAGUAAACAGCUAGCUGGCUGAGAAGGUGGUGUCCGAAAAUGAGAUUUGGAUUUCUGGACUAUGACUGAAAAUAUAGGAGUGACAUUCCCGACCAGGAAAUAGAGAGCAUCUAUAAAAGAAUGACCUCUGAUCCAUUCUGUCCUGUGACCCACGUGUUGCCUUCUCUACCGAGAUCCCUGAACAAUCCCUAACUGCCAGCAAGUGAAUGCUCCUUAAUCCUUGCUUUCAUCUGUUUGCAUCUCUAUUAUAACCUUUAAUAACUGAGUACUCCCUCUAAUCAUCAUCUUCCUCAUUACCAUCAUUAUUGUCAUCAUUGCCUCCAUUAAAGACCUUGUCCAACUUCUUAGCAUGUAACCCUAUGUUGGGUUACUCUGAGCUAGAGAGUCUCCUAGUCUGAGCCUGGAGAUAAACUAUGUAUCUAUCACACAGAGCAAAAUGCAAGCUCCCCUGAGGGCAGGGACUGUUUUAUUUUCAUCUGUAUCCCCAGAGCCUGGCUCAUAGUGGGUGUCAAAUAAAUGCUUGUUGCAUGAAUGAAUGUCACCCAAGAAGCAACAACCUGGCUAAAUGCAGAGUGACUGAGAGGGUUUUUGUUUUUAUUUUUAAUAUUUGCAGCUUAUAAAGAACUGCACAGGAAGGCAUCAAGGAUUUUUUAAAAAUAAUAUUUUUUCUCAAACAUGAGGGUUUUUUAUUUCUGCUGAUGGAUAGAAUCCCCACACCAAUAAAAUCACAGAUCUUUUGAAA